rnacentral:rRNA from 1 species
AGACCUCUGAUCAGAAAAGACUACCCGCUGAGUUUAAGCAUAUCACUAAGCGGAGGAGAAGAAACUAACCAGGAUUUCCCUAGUAACGGCGAGCGAACCGGAAAGAGCCCAGCUUGAAA